AAAAGACCUUGAUUCCCUUAAAAUACCAGAUCCUUUCUGAUCUUGGAAGCUAAACAGGAUCAGUCCUGCUUAGUACCGGGAUGGGAGACAACCAAUGAAUACCAGGUGUAGGCUUAUU
rnacentral:rRNA from 1 species